rnacentral:rRNA from 1 species
UACGUAGGUGACAGGCGUUGUCCGGAUUUACUGGGCGUAAAGAGCGCGCAGGCGGUCGAUCAAGUCGAGUGUGAAAGCCCCUGGCUCAACUGGGGAGGGUCAUUCGAUACUGAUCGACUCGAAGGCAGGAGAGGGUAGUGGAAUUCCCGGUGUAGUGGUGAAAUGCGUAGAUAUCGGGAGGAACACCAGUGGCGAAGGCGACUUCCUGGCCUGUUCUUGACGCUGAGGCGCGAAAGCUAGGGGAGCAAACGGG